rnacentral:rRNA from 1 species
CAGCCGUAAACAAUGUGCGUUAGGUGUGUCGGUAACCACGUGUUACUGAUGCGCCGAAGAGAAAUCGUGAAACGCACCACCUGGGAAGUACGGUCGCAAGGCUGAAACUUAAAGGAAUUGGCGGGGGAGCACCACAACAGGUGGAGCCUGCGGUUUAAUUGGACUCAACGCCGGGAAGCUCACCGGAUAGGACAGCAGAAUGAUUGCCGGGCUGAAGACCCUGCAUGACUAGCUGAGAGGUGGUGCAUGGCGUCAGUGACU